GAUUCGGUCUCGCGCAAUGGAAAUCCACGAACCGUGUCAGGUCGGGAACGAAGCAGCACUAAGAGGAAUCUUUCAUGUGCCGCGAGGACGCCGGGUUGGC
rnacentral:SRP_RNA from 1 species